UUAAGACGUCAUAUCAAAGGUCAAGCUUAUUUCCCCAGUUUUCAUACCCUACUCCCAAUUUUGCCCCCAUUCAUUGCCAUCCCAAUUAUUUCUUCGAACAAACCUGUGUAAUUGAAGACCGAAUGUAACUGUGGGAACAAUUAAUCAUGAAAUAAAUACGAUAUUGAAUGUUUCACAUUCGUCGCUUCAGUAUACCCUAUCCCUUCGAUUUAUCGGCGAUUGAACCCCUUAUGUGUUUCAAUUUAAUCCCAUUUUCAUGUGUUCUACCCUUCGUCCUUCAAGCAAUUGGUAAUUGGAAGCGAGAUCGAUUUACAAGCAGGCCCUAGGGAAGAAAUUCAGUAAAAGUGAGUUCUAGGUUUUGGUUAAUUUGCUGUUGUGAUUCGAUAUGUAGAAGCAUUUGCUAGGUAUUUUGUUUUAUUACUUAUUGUUUUUGAAUUGCAAUCUGGUCGAUUCUUUACUUUUUUGGUGGUAACCGUUCCUCAGAUGCAAGUCAAAGGAGUGCAAACUUGAAGUUCUUUUGUUUUCUUCUUGGUGUCUGACAAUGAAAUUGUUUCUGGGUUACAAUUUUGAUGUCUCGCAGAUUUAAAGAUUACAAACACUCUUUAAUUUGAUAACUUGGUAUGUGUAUGUUGUAUUUUUUUUAUUGUGUGUGAAGGGACACAUGUGAAGGCUAUGGCAGGCGAGCAUCCAAAUGAUCGCAAUGACAUAGAGUUGCAGCCCAGUCAGAAUCAUCUUGGUGGUGUCAUAAGAAUAUUAAUGGUCACACAUGACAGGGAAAAUAAGAGACGCCACUGAAUAAGGAAUAUAUGCAGAUACAGUGGAGGCAUAUGUGAAAUUUGUCAAUCACUUGGUUAACCAGCCCUUCUUGAUCUGCUUGUUCAACCUAACUCAUACGAGGAUACGGAAAUCGAAGAUUUGAGGCCUUCAAGGAAGAAAGCAUAAGCCCAUGUCAGAGAUUACAUCUGGAAUAUGAUGUGGAAUAUACCAUCAGGCUAAACUUCAUGUUAACGUUAUAAACAUUUUGAACCGUAUGUUGGAAGGGAGAGUAUUGGUGAUGAAAUAAUAAUAUUUGGGCGUGGAAAUAUGAAUAUAUCUUUUGAUAGAGAUGUAGUUGUUGUGGAAAUAUGUAGUUGCUGAUAAGUCAUUUGGAAGAUAGAAGCAAGUACAAUAAAUAAAGAAUAAUCGCGUGCGGAAUAUUGAAACAAGUACAAUGUAUUAUAGGGGGGUGUGCAAGAGCUGCGGGAAGUUCGGGUGGGGAGGUUGUGGCGAGCAUGUGAAGUUGGUGUAUGGGGGUAUAGAAAAGGGUAAGCAUUGUAUGUGUCGGUCGUGGCCUGGGGUUGCAGUUUCUGAGACGGCUUCGUCUACUGCAUCUGUUGCGGCAGCUACUGCUACAUCUACUGCAGGAUAGAUUGAUGGUUAUGAAAAGUGGAUAAAAAUGAAUUAUAACGUUGGAAGACAAUGUGUUUCGUGCUGUUGGUAUAUCAUUUUUGUUUUGUGAAAUGUAAUAUAACAUUUAAUCAAAUAAAACUUUCGGUAUGAAUAUGUAACCGGAGAUGUAUAAUAUAUGCUAAUAUUGUUUCGCUUAUGACGUUUUAAACGUAUUUUAAGCUUGAUACAAGAUGCGUUUUAAUAAGAUUUAAGUGGGAUAAGCUACUAUAAUUUCGCAUAACUCGUGAUGUGAAACAUAGCAAUCAACACAUCUGAACAAAACAUAGCAAUAAGCAAGAACUCUACACCAGAGUUCCAAAAAAACAAAAACAAACUGAUGACCCGUUUGACCUAAACUCUUGACGAAAUUGAGGGCCCGUUUGAAGUAUCUCAAGAUGGCACCAUCAAGUUCGACAAAAAAGACGGGAUCGAUUACGCUGCAGUGACCGUUCGCUUCCGGCAGCGUAAGUGUUGGCUGGAAGUGUUAUGGAGUUUGGCUUCCAGGUUUGUUUUUGUCGUCCGAGUAUAUGCUGCUGCCUGGGUUUUUGUUGCUGUCAGGGGUCCGAGUUAUUGCUGCUGUCCGAGCCAAAAGUUUUUUUCAUUUGUAUGCCGAUAUGUUUGGGCUAUGGUUUUCUGCUUUGAGCCGGGGUAGUUUUUUCCGCCUUCCAACUUGAUCCGGGUCUGAGAAAAGCCCAUCAGGUG